CAAAUUCUCAGCUGGGGUAAGUCAGCAAAACUCUACUGAUUUUACUACUUUAUGUGAAUCAAAGGUUUAAUCCACUGUAUAUGAAUAGAAAAAAAAAAUGUUCUACAUUUUGUUGUUUUCCUUUUUUUUCUCUCUCUCUCUCUCCCUCUCUCUUUUUUUUUCUUUUUUUUUUUUUUUUUUUUAACCUGACAGUGAUGAGAAACAAAAACUGUGAAAUUAGCAAGAUUUCUGCCAUUCUUGUGAUAAGCUGUUUCCCCAUGGAAUGUCUUCAUCAGUGUCAGGACUUGUUUGGGCUCAGGCAAGUGCUUUGUAAUAAAUUAAGGUAUUUUCUGCUGGGCACUCUCUGCAUUUUUUUAGACAUUUAAAUUUGUGUAGUGAAUAGGAUAAGUUUAUAUACACAGUGAAUUUGUUAAAGCAAACAAGAAUUUUAUUCCAGGGCUAGGCUUUCCCUUAUCUCUGUUCCUUGUUUGUUUGUCAUAGCAGAUCAGUAUCUAUGUUCCUUUGUGUUUAAAAAAAAAAAAAAGAAAAAUUGCGACACUUGGAAAUUCUGAGAAUUGAGCUGCAAGAUGAACCAUGUACCAGCUCUGUUUUCAACACAUCAUGACAUCCAUACUGCUGGACUGAAACUGAGUCCAUGAGCUUGGUUCGACCUCGACUCCAUGAAAGGACAAACUGGAUGCAUAUAAUCUCUCCCACCAAGACCAACUCAGCUGUGAUGAAGCCCAAGUCUAACAACAUAUUGUAGAAUUCACCUACCUAAUCAGAUUGCUUCUUGCUUGCUCUGUUUCCAGGUCCACCAAAACCUAAGUUUCUCCUAUAUUAAAGCUGAGUCUCAAGCUGAGCUCACUGUUUUUCUGGCCUACAUCUUCCACUCUGCCUUCCCACACUUUCCUUUAAUAUUUAAUUUCUCCCUACCACAUUCCUGGCUCUUAAUUCCAUUCCCAAUUUCUUCAUCACAUUUCAGUCUGUUUUCUGUGUCAGUUCCAGUCACAGUUCCUACCAACUCAUCCUAAUUUUCCCAGUAUCUUUUUUUUUUUUUUUUUUUUCCCAUAUCCAGCUUCCAUCUUCCUGGAGAAGAACCUAAUCAUUUGUCUGUAGGUUUGUCUAAUGUCAGUACAAGCUGAAAUGCUCAAACAUGCUUGGUAAUUAUAGAUUCUCUGGAGGUCCUAGGAGCUAAAAGUAAAGAUGUUGCUACUGAGAAUUGUGAACUUUUUUUUUUUUUUUUUCCCAAGAGUUCAUCAUUUGGGAAAAUGUGGAUUCAUACUCCAGGGGUCAAGAAGCAUGGCAGAGAUCCACAGACCAUGCCUCUACUGGUUCUGCACUCUAUAUAAAACACUAGUAUGACUUAAACAAAACAAUGAACAGAAGUUACUAACAUCAAAAAUAUAUUUUUUUUCCCCCAACUCACACUCUAAAGAGCCUGAACUGAUUUGAUUGACAGCUACCAAAAAGUAGCCCGAGGCAGGUAAAGUCAUGGAAGAUUUCAGUCCAAAUGGUUAAUGUUCUGGCAAAGUUAUAAGCAGCUGAAAACUGUAUUGUAUAAUGGCACAUAUCAGACGACCUGAAUAAUAUGGAGAGUUACC
ensembl:lncRNA